rnacentral:rRNA from 1 species
CACGUAGUUAGCCGGGGCUGCUUAGUCAAGUACUGUCCUUCUUCUUCCUUGCUGAUAGAAGUUUACGAUCCGAAAAUCUUCUUCCUUCACGCGGCAUCGCUGCAUCAGGGUUCCCCCCAUUGUGCAAUAUUCCCCACUGCUGCCUCCCGUAGGAGUCUGGGCCGUGUCUCAGUCCCAAUGUGGCCGUCCAUCCCCUCAGACCGGCUACUGAUCGUUGCCUUGGUAAGCCUUUACCUCCCCAACUAGCUAAUCAGUCGCGGGCCCAUCCUAUACCGUCUCGGCUUUUCCUACUAGUUCAUGCGAACCUGUAGGCUUAUGCGGUAUUAGCGUACAUUUCUAUACGUUAUCCCCCUGUAUAGGGUAGGUUACCCACGUGUUACUCACCCGUCCGCCGCUAGAUCAUUUCCCUUCCAGGCCGAAGCCUUUCCGCAAAACUCUCUCGCUCGACUUGCAUGUGUUAAGCGUGCCGCCAGCGUUCAUCCUGAGCCAGGAUCAAACUCU